AAAGAAGAUUAAAGAUUAAAGAUUAAAAAUUAAAAAUUAAAAUACAAAAGUUGAAAUAUGAAAGUUACAAAUUACUAUAAAAAUAAAAGUAAAAGUGAGACUAUAGAGAGAUAAAAGCAAAGAUACCUUGAUAACAUCCAAGAAUUAAAGGUAGAAAUUCCUUUCUAAUCCAAAAUUUGCCAAAAAUCGUAAUUAAUUCCAAACUGAAUGACUUUUA
rnacentral:lncRNA from 1 species